ACCUUCCUGAGUACCUGGGAAUACAGAUACAAACCAUCACUUCUCUUGUCUUUGCUUCCCUUGUUUAUGUCUGGCCAAUGGCCACACCAGCACCUACCUUCUACAAGGGCCCUCAAUGGACAAUGAGACUCACAGCCAUCUCCAAGAGGAAAUUAUCAACACAGGAAGCCAAGAUCUGUGCUUGCAUAAGUGUGAUGAUAUACUACAGCCCUGCAGUUCAGAGUCACUGGAGUAAAUGACCCAAGUACAACCAGACCACAAGGGAUAGAUACCUGGUGCAUGUUUGGCUUAUACAAGGGCAAGGAUCAGGGACACUGGUGGCACCAGAUCACACAGAAUCUGGGGAUUACCUUGAAACUGUUUGGUUUUUGAGACAAAGUCUAACUGUGUAGCCUCAGCUUGCCUGGAAUACCAUAUGUAGACAAGACUGGUGUCAAACUCAAAGAGAUCCACCUUCCUCUGCCUUCUCAGUGAUAGGAUUAAGGGUGUAUGCCAUCUUACCUGGCUCUUUUUCUUUUUUGAAGAUUCAUUCCUGAGUGUAUAAAUGUGCACUACAUGUGUGCCUGUGCCUACAGAAGCCCGAAUGGAGUGUUGGAUUCCCUGGAACUGGAGUUACAGGUACCUGUAAGUCCCCUAAUGUGAGUGUUGGAAUUUGAACCUAUGUCCUCUUUAAUAGUUUCAAGCAUAAUUAACCACUAAGCCAUCUCUCCAGCCUGAUUUAUUAGUUUUGAUUAUCUGUAUGGAAUGUGUGGGGUACAUGCAUGCCCGUGGAGGACCUAAGAGGUUGUCCAAUCUGCUGAAGCUGGAGUUACAGGUGGCUGUAACUACCUGCUAUGGCUGCUGGAAACUGAACUCAGAGCAUCUGCAAGAGCUGUGUGCACUCUUAGCCACUAAGCCAUCUCUCCACCCGCUUCCUUGAUCUCCUCCUGAUCCUUCUGCCUUUAUCUCCUGAGUUCUAGGAUGGCAGACACACACCAACAGGCCUGGUUUAUGCGAUGCUGGAGAUAGAAUCCAGGGCCUUGUCCUCGGCGAGCACUCUACCAUCUGAGCUAUAGUUUCAGCUCCUAACAAAAGUUCUCGAAAAAAAGGGACUGGUAAAGAAAGAAAAAGGAAAUCUAGAUGAUAGUGCAUACAUUUAAUCCCAGCACUCAGGAGGCAAAGAUAGGAAGAUCUCUGAGUUCCAGGCCAGCCUGGUCUUCAGAGUGAGAUCUAGGAUAGCCAGGACUACACAGAGAAAUCCUGUUACAAAAGGAAGAGAGAGAGAGAGAGAGAGAGAGAGAGAGAGGAGGAGGAAGAGGAGGAGGAAAAGGAGGAAGAAGGGGGAGGAAGGGAGGGAGAAAGGGAUGAAGGGAGGGAAGAAGGAAGGAAGAAAAAGGAGAGGAGAAAGGAAGGGAGAAAAAGAAAGAAAACGGUCUAGAGGGCAGGCACUAUGAGGAACUGAGGAGAAUGGGACAUAGGAACAUCACAACGUGGACACAGAACACAAUGAGUAUGUAUGCUCAAGAGGAAGGAAAGAGGUGGGGCCUGGGACACAGAGGGACCAAUGGCUGGGCCACAGGGCAUGGAAGGGGGGUGCAGAUGUCUUGAGAGGCAGUCCACAGGACAGGAAGUCAGGAAGAGGAUGUGGGGCAGUGAGUCAUGGUGGUGAGACCAGAAACUGUUGAGGUGAGAGCCGAGGAAGUGGACAGGUGUAAAAGAGAAGUAGGGUGAGGUCAGCAUUGUGGGGACCCCAAAGGUUAGGGGGAGGAAGGGGUAAAAAAGCAAGCAGGAGUCAGGCUGGAUCAAAGAUAGCUAACGCUAUCAACAGGUAGGGCCUACAAUCACCUGGGACAAAAUCUGUGAGCAUGUCUAUAAGCGGGCAUCUAGACUGGGGGAGGGCAGAUCCGUCCUAAAUGCGGGAUUUUAGUAAAGUUGUACUGCCUAUGGGCUGGGGCCCUGCACUGAAUAAUAAAAGGAGAAGCGAGCUGAGCACCAGCAUCCAUCUCUCUCUCUGCUUCCUGACUGUGGAUGCCACGUGACCAGCCACGUGACCAGCCACCUCCGCCUCUGCCUCUUGCUCCUGCUGCUGUGCCUCCCCCCACACACCCUUUUGAUGGACUGGACCCUCCUGACCCAGUCCCUACCCUCUGCUGAUUCACAGCUCCUCCCGGGCUAAUCUUGAUCUUACUCAUCACUUCGUUCACUCCAUGGUAUGUGAACCCCAAAAUAAUAUUAAAAGAAUAAACAGCCCACAGAGAAAAGUUUUUUUGGCUAAAGAAAUAUAGCCAGGGGGUCAAACAUGGUGGGUAUACUUUAACCCCAGCAAGUCAGUGGCAGAGGCAGGAGGAUCAUAUAUUCAAAGAGAUCUAUAGAGUUCGACCCUGUCUUAUAAGAUCGAUACCCUCAGUUUGACCACCAGGGCCCACUGUGGGAGGCCAGAACCAAGUUGUCCUCUGACGUCUACAUGCAACACACACAGACAGACACACAAAACAGACAACAAACAAGGCUAAAUAAAAAUUGGGGUCAAGCUAUUUUCCUCGUCUGACUGGUAACCUCCCCCUUCCCCAACUCCUUCUAGAAGUAUCCUCAUGGCAGACUGGAGAGCAUCAUGGCGGGCUGGGCCUAACAUGGGGAGCCUGACAUCCUGGCUUUGAAUCUUCCCCCUUUCACUCACUCACUGGAUGACCGAGCUGACAAACUCUGAAGGCUGGAGUCAUUCAUCAUCACUCUUAGAUGAUGUAAAGCACUUCCCAAACCAGGACACGUCCCAGGCUAGCUGGCCUGUGAGUUCCAGGAGUGCUCCUGUCUCCGACUCGAUCUCUCUGUAAAGAGCACUGGGGUUACAGGCGCCUGCUCCCAUGCUCAGCUUUACAUGGGGUCUAGGGAUUCAAACUCAGGUCCUCGCACUUGUGCAGCAAACACUGAGCCAUCUUCCCAGGCCCUCUCCCUCUUACACACUAAGUCCUAGUAAAUACAGAAUCGACUCAGCAAGCAAAAUUGAAAGCAAGUAUAAUGUCAAAAACUAAACUACUAUUCUCGUCCCUAAAACCCAACUGAUGCUUGUGCUGAGUUAAAAGGGCAACUCGAGGUGAUGGUGGAGUAGAGCUUUGGCUGCUCAGUGGUUCCUGUUCUGGAAGGGACAGUGGCCAUGUGACAUUCUGAAAACAGUGCUGAGAGCUUAGAAGGACAGACUACCCGCUCCUGCAACACAGAAAAUGCCACAGUAGUGGCCCAUAAUUUGCAAAAUGCCUUCAUGCUUAUCAUUUAGUACAUUCCAUACCAAGCUGCCCUCUGACCUUGUUAUAGUUUGUAUAUUCGUGGCCCAGGGAGUGACACUAUUAGAAGGUGUGGCCUUGUUGGAGUAGGUGUGUCACUGGGCGUGGGAUUUAAGAUCCUCAACCUAGCUGCCAGGAAGUCAGUCUUCCACUAGCAGCCUUCAGAUGAAGAUGGAGAACUCUCAGCUCAGCCUGCUUGGAUGCUGCCAAGCUCCCACCUUGAUGAUAAUGGACUGAACCUCUGACCUGUAGGCCAGCCCCAAUUAAAUGU